rnacentral:rRNA from 1 species
AGUGAACGCUGGCGGCGUGCUCAACACGUGCAAGUCGAACGAGAACGGAAUAUAGCUUGCUAUAUUUGUCAGCUAAGUGGCGCACGGGUGAGUAAUGUAUAGAUAACCUGCCCUUAAGAAAGGAAUAACAGUUGGAAACGACUGCUAAUGCCCUAUAUGCCUUUAAUACAUAAGUAUGCAAGGGAAACGCUUUAGUGCUUAAGGAUGGGUCUGUAUGGUAUCAGCUUGUUGGUGAGGUAAUGGCUCACCAAGGCUAUGACGCCUAACUGGUUUGAGAGGAUGAUCGGUCACACUGGAACUGAGACACGGUCCAGACUCCUACGGGAGGCAGCAGUGGGGAAUAUUGCACAAUGGACGAAAGUCCGAUGCAGCAACGCCGCGUGGAGGAUGACACAUUUCGGUGCGUAAACUCCUUUUAUAUAGGAAGAUAAUGACGGUACUAUAUGAAUAAGCACCGGCUAACUCCGUGCCAGCCGCCGCCGUAA